rnacentral:lncRNA from 1 species
CGAACGCUGCAUCAACCUGCUUAUUGGUCCGAGUGCCCUUUCAUGUUUUUGCUUAGACAGGAGAAGCGGUGCCAUAGAGACGAUUUUCACCAACCUCCUUUUUAUUUAGGCUCUUUUGCCCAUGACCUGACGGCCAUAUCUGCCUUUCUUUCCAUUCUUACCCACAGUGCCCUUUCGGGUUUUCACUAUGCCCGGUUUUUUAUUUACAUAACUCUCUUACUCAUGGUUUCGUGACCAUGCCCGUCCAUCACUUUUUCUCAUGGCGUAGGUUUACACCAUGCCCGUUUUCUUAUUUUUGUGGGGCAUGUUUGAGGUCAUGCCUCCGAGACUUGAGCAAAACAGUUUAACGUCAUGAGGCCAGAACGUGGACUAUAGUUUAAAGUCAUAAAGCUGGACCGUAAUGGAGAUGGAUGACAGUCUGUGGAGGCCAUAGAGUGAGUAUGGUGGUGGCUUGACUCACUUGGGGGAGAUGGCACGAGACUGUCUGUGAAUGAUGGAUUGUGUUUAUAUAGAAGGUGGAUAAGGGGUGACCCACUAAUUGACGGUGAGUAUAGAUGAUGGAAUGGCUCAUCG